rnacentral:rRNA from 1 species
GACGAACGCUGGCGGCGUGCUUAACACAUGCAAGUCGAACGGAAAGGCCCUGCUUUUGUGGGGUGCUCGAGUGGCGAACGUGUGAGUAACACGUGAGUAACCUGCCCUUGACUUUGGGAUAACUUCAGGAAACUGGGGCUAAUACCGGAUAGGAGCUCCUGCUGCAUGGUGGGGGUUGGAAAGUUUCGGCGGUUGGGGAUGGACUCGCGGCUUAUCAGCUUGUUGGUGGGGUAGUGGCUUACCAAGGCUUUGACGGGUAGCCGGCCUGAGAGGGUGACCGGCAAAAUUGGGACUGAGAUACGGCCCAGACUCCUACGGGAGGCAGCAGUGGGGAAUAUUGCACAAUGGGCGGAAGCCUGAUGCAGCAACGCCGCGUGCGGGAUGACGGCCUUCGGGUUGUAAACCGCUUUCGCCUGUGACGAAGCGUGAGUGACGGUAAUGGGUAAAGAAGCACCGGCUAACUACGUG